rnacentral:rRNA from 1 species
UGCCCCAGUAACGGCGAGUGAAGCGGCAACAGCUCAAAUUUGAAAUCUGGCUUCGGCCCGAGUUGUAAUUUGCAGAGGAAGCUUUAGGCGCGGCACCAUCUGAGUCCCCUGGAACGGGGCGCCACAGAGGGUGAGAGCCCCGUAUAGAUGGACGCCUAGCCUGUGUAAAGCUCCUUCGACGAGUCGAGUAGUUUGGGAAUGCUGCUCAAAAUGGGAGGUAAAUUUCUUCUAAAGCUAAAUAUUGGCCAGAGACCGAUAGCGCACAAGUAGAGUGAUCGAAAGAUGAAAAGCACUUUGAAAAGAGGGUUAAAUAGCACGUGAAAUUGUUGAAAGGGAAGCGCUUGUGACCAGACUUGCGCCGGGCAGAUCAUCCGGUGUUCUCACCGGUGCACUCUGCCCGGCUCAGGCCAGCAUCGGUUCUCGCGGGGGGAUAAAGGCACCGGGAACGUAGCUCCUCCGGGAGUGUUAUAGCCCGGGGCGUAAUGCCCUCGCGGGGACCGAGGACCGCGCAUCUGCAAGGAUGCUGGCGUAAUGGUCAUCAG